AGUGAACGCUGGCGGUAGGCCUAACACAUGCAAGUCGAACGGCAGCACAGUAAGAGCUUGCUCUUACGGGUGGCGAGUGGCGGACGGGUGAGGAAUACAUCGGAAUCUACUUUUUCGUGGGGGAUAACGUAGGGAAACUUACGCUAAUACCGCAUACGACCUACGGGUGAAAGCAGGGGAUCUUCGGACCUUGCGCGAUUGAAUGAGCCGAUGUCGGAUUAGCUAGUUGGCGGGGUAAAGGCCCACCAAGGCGACGAUCCGUAGCUGGUCUGAGAGGAUGAUCAGCCACACUGGAACUGAGACACGGUCCAGACUCCUACGGGAGGCAGCAGUGGGGAAUAUUGGACAAUGGGCGCAAGCCUGAUCCAGCCGUACCGCGUGGGUGAAGAAGGCCUUCGGGUUGUAAAGCCCUUUUGUUGGGAAAGAAAGGCAGCAGGUUAAUACCCCGCUGUUCUGACGGUACCCAAAGAAUAAGCACCGGCUAACUUCGUG
rnacentral:rRNA from 1 species